rnacentral:lncRNA from 1 species
GCUGGGGACCUUGAAAGCUCACAGAGAGGGCAGCCAGGCUCUGCAGUCACCACCUGGGAACAGAGGUCAAAAGACCUGCAGACCCACAACUUUGCCAGGUUCUCAGCGGCAGGAUGCUCUCCUGGACAGGAGCAGGAGGGCAGGGUGCCAUCCUGGAUGUCUAGCGGAGAAGAGGAUGCCAUUUUGGCUAUGGGGGCAGGUUGCUGUCCAGGGUGUGGAGGAGGGCCUGGCUGGCACACUGUUUCCUGUCCAGGCUCCCAAGCAUGAGGUGCAAGCAAUGGCAUCACUGUGGCCCUGCAUGACCACCAGUGUCACUUGGGCAGAAACACAGGAUUUGUCUGCACCCUGGACCGCCCACUCCUCAAGCCACCAGUGCUGACUGCCACUGCCCAGGUCCACCUUGCUGUGCACACCCAGCCCUCAGCCAGUGCCCAUGUAGAGCGCAAGGACAGAGGAGACGUGGCUUCUCUGCACAAGGGUCAUGCUCAGCCUGUAAGAGGAGGAAACUCUAAGAUACCCAGGACUAACCCUGACCAAGGAGGAAGAGAACUCCACAAUGAAGAUGACAGAUUGCUUUCUCAAGGGGCAGUGGAGAACUCAGUCCUGCACUCUGGCAGAGAAGACAGGCAGCACUCCAGACAACAGACAGCAGGAAGGACAAGAAGGGAGCUCUUCGGCCUGGAGAACCGCGUGCUGGCUGAAAAGGAUGUCAACCCAUACCUGCACUGUCCAUGUUUGGGAGGCAGGUAACUUACUUUCCAGAGAGAGACACCCUAUGAAGACACAGCCCAGCAACAGGCAGUGUGGAGAUGGAGGCAGAUGCUAGAACGAUGACAAUCUCUCAGGAUGGUGGGUGACAUCAGAAUGGGGAGAAGGACCUGCCUGGGUUCAUCCCCACAGCCUCCUGGGGCACAACCUGCCAACACCCUCAUUUCACACGAGUGCCCCCCAGGACUGGGCGGGGAUCUACUUCUGUCAAUUAAGCCUCCUGGUCCAUGGUGAUUUUUUACAGCAGCUCGAGAGAACUAAUACAGCUAUCUCGGAUAUUUCAGCUUGGUUCAUCUUCCACACUCAACGAAUAUUCCUCAGUAUUACACAGGAUUCCCUGUACUUCGUGACACCGAAUAGUGCGAUGUCAUCAUGACACUUGGCUGCCCCUUGCUUUGACCAACCUGUAUUCCCUGGCCACAAAACCCAGGCACCCCUGCCCCAGCUGCUGCAUUCUGACAGACUCCUCCCCGUGCUGACCUGGCUCCUGGGCCUCAGCCUGUCACAGCUUCUCCUACCCUGAUGGACAUCUGUCAUUUGGCUCUUCUCACCCAGCAUCUGCAGUCCUUCCUCCCCUUUGAGAAGUAUCCAGAUCCAGCUCCAGACAGUCGACCGAGCAAACACAAGCCAAGCAGCCUGCUGGCCCCGGGAAAGCUGGUGGCUCUGUCCUUCCUGUGUACGUCAUGCCACACCUCUUCCAGAAGCAGCAGUGGGCGGA